UGAGGGCCCUUGCUGCCAGCCUCUUCGCACAGCUUGCUUGCUUGCUUCUUAGACAUUCCCUUUGCGUGCUUCCUAUGUUUACUCUCUCCAAACUGGACUCCUUAGACCCUUCAAGCACUAUUCAUGUGAUGUGGCUGCAAAAUUACCUAUCCAAAAUCUCCAACUAGGGACGACGUGACAAGAAGGAUUCGCCACAGCCUUAUUAAGUAUGGUGCCCUUAACUAGAUCCAUAACUGCAGACAUUGGUGCUCCUGGUUUUCAGGCCUUCAGACUUGGACUAGAACACUACCACCAGCUCUUCUGGACUUCAGCUUGCAGAUGUUAGAUUGUGGAACUUCUUAGCCUCUGUGAUUGUGCCCACUGCCACUGGCUGACUUCAGACCCUCCUCACCCUGGACUGCCGCAGUAUCCUCCUCCAGCCUUCUUCUUACUUUAUCCUCCAUGCUGCUGCCAAAAGGAUAUGUUUAGCUUUCAAUUUUGAAGGACCAGGUCUGACCUGCGGGAAACAGCAUGCUAAUCCUUACUUCUUUCAGCUCUAAAGUACCAUCUAUUAGAGCGCUGGCCUGUCAGUCAGCCUUCUUAGCGGUGCAAAAGAGUGAGAUUCGGUUCAGCAAUCUAAGGUGGAGGGCCCAUUUCCUGUUAACCUCAUCUUCUACAAAACCAACAGCAGCCAAGAGACUGAAGGCUUAUAUGUAUCAGAGAGUUUUCUACACAUUUUUUGAUUACCUCAUUUAAUCUGUGCAGCAAUCAUAAUGAAGUUCACCAAUCAGAGGGAGAAACUGAGGCACAGAGAGGGAAAGCAGCUCAUUCAAGUUUCCCCAGCUGAUGAGAAGGACAGCCGGGGGCACCAAGCAGCCUGUGCAUCAUAGUCUCUGUCUAUGCUUCAAAAACUGAGCCUGUGUUUGUUUUCUUCUUCUUAAUGUGAGAACAAUUAUGUUUACUAUGUACUGUAGGAGAUGGUUGUGCAGCGCUGUGUUUAUAAAGAAGGAUUCUGAGGCAGACGCCACUGAACCCCGCAAGAGCAUUCUGGAUGGGAAGGGCUCCCUGUUCCUCAGCAGAGGCCUCACGCUGUGGAAGGGAGCGUGAUUGUUAUUCAAAACGAAAAUAUUCUUACCAGCACUGGAAACUACAUUUACAAGUUAAGCACACGUUUUCUAAAAGUAGAGAAAAUUCUAGGAGGGGAGCAGCAUCUCUUGCAGCCUGGAGGGAGGAGGCAUCUAAUUGCCUAUUCAUGAGGGAGCUGGUCUCUCAGGGCCUGUAACAUUUCCAAACAGGCUAUGCAGAGAACAGCAGUGACAAUAAAAACAGCAGGUCCCUGAAUUCAAAAUCUUGAUAUAAACAUAUACAACACAAAUCUCAAAGCUCACUCUUCACCAUCUUGGUGCAAUCUCUCUGAUGUUAGCACUUUGGAUCUUGUGAGAGUAUGUGGAUGGGCACAUGUACACUUAUAUGCCUAAGACUCACAUAUGUACAGACUGAGUUAUUAAUGAAAUGAAGAAAGAUUCCAAAAACCA